AUUGAACGCUGGCGGAAUGCUUUACACAUGCAAGUCGAACGGCAGCACGGACUUCGGUCUGGUGGCGAGUGGCGAACGGGUGAGUAAUGUAUCGGAACGUGCCCAGUCGUGGGGGAUCACGUAGUGAAAAUUACGCUAAUACCGCAUCCGAUCGAUGGAUGAAAGCGGGGGAUCGCAAGACCUCGCGCGAUUGGCGCGGCCGAUAUCAGAUUAGGUAGUUGGUGGGGUAAAGGCCCACCAAGCCAACGAUCUGUAGCGGGUCUGAGAGGACGACCAGCCACACUGGAACUGAGACACGGUCCAGACUCCUACGGGAGGCAGCAGUGGGGAAUUUUGGACAAUGGGCGAAAGCCUGAUCCAGCCAUUCCGCGUGCAGGAUGAAGGCCCUCGGGUUGUAAACUGCUUUUGUACAGAACGAAAAGGUUUCUACUAAUACUAGGAGCUCAUGACGGUACUGUAAGAAUAAGCACCGGCUAACUACGUGCCAGCCGCCGCCGUAA
rnacentral:rRNA from 1 species